rnacentral:hammerhead_ribozyme from 17 species
CAAGCGUCUGGGGUAAGGAGUCGCUGUCAUCAGCGCCCCCACUGAUGAGUCUAGGCAGUGACUCUGAGACGAAACGCAAA